rnacentral:rRNA from 1 species
GAUGAACGUUGGCGGCAUGCCUAAUACAUGCAAGUCGAACGAGAGGAAGGAAAGCUUGCUUUUCUGAAUCUAGUGGCGAACGGGUGAGUAACACGUAGGUAACCUGCCCAUGUGCCCGGGAUAACUUCUGGAAACGGAUGCUAAAACCGGAUAGGUAGCAGACAAGCAUUUGACUGCUAUUAAAGUGGCUAAGGCCAUGAACAUGGAUGGACCUGCGGUGCAUCAGCUAGUUGGUGAGGUAACGGCCCACCAAGGCGACGAUGCAUAGCCGGCCUGAGAGGGCGGACGGCCACAUUGGGACUGAGACACGGCCCAAACUCCUACGGGAGGCAGCAGUAGGGAAUUUUCGUCAAUGGGGGGAACCCUGAACGAGCAAUGCCGCGUGAGUGAGGAAGGUCUUCGGAUCGUAAAGCUCUGUUGUAAGAGAAAAACGACAUUCAUAGGGAAUGAUGAGUGAGUGAUGGUAUCUUACCAGAAAGUCACGGCUAACUACGUGCCAGCCGCCGCAGUAA